GGUACUUACUGAAAAGCACAGUCCUUUGCUCAGUUUAGGUGGCCAGUGUCAAACUCUCAGGUUUUCAGUAUUUGAUAUUCUUCCCUAAAAACUACCUUGUAGGUUUUCUUCUUUACCUUUUUAGUUAAUUUUGGAAAGAAAAAUAAUAUCAAUUACUUUUUUUCAGCUGUCCCUUUUUUCUUUUAAACACAGUGGAAGCAGAACUGUCAAGGAAUGAUUGGGUCAAACUUCGAAAGGUGGCCACCAAGCCUGAAGAAGAAGAAGAGAUCCCCCGACCAUGGGCAUCAUACUCUUCCCAACGAGUGCUUCAGGGAAGCGAUGACCUGAGGUAAAAUGCACUCAUCGCUUCUAAAAGCAGAAGACUGGCACUCUCAACUCAACCCAAAGUGACAUUGGAAGGAUAAGCAUAAUUUAAUGGGAAAAAGCACCAGAUGUGUCUAUGAGAAGACAGAGGCUGUUUGCAUUUUGUAUGUGCAAUGGAUGCAUGGGAUACCACAUGACAAGGAAGAGGCUAAAGUGUCAUUCUGUCUUAGGUGAAUAAAAGUGGCUCCACUCCAAUUUAUAUAUUAGCCCCCCGGGAAUCUUCCUGUGCUCUAUUUCACCGCUCCAGGGCAGGACUCAUCAGGAAAGCUCUUCUGGUGGACAAGAUAUAUUCCUACAGAUAGCAAACAUCAAUCAGCCCUUUAAGACAUUCUGGCAUCAGGGAAGACACAGCUUCUUUGAACACAGCAGCCCAUGCUGAACUCCAGCUGAGUAUAGGCCCAUGAAUGGACAUGAGCAAUGGACCAACGUGUUCAAGGAAAUCUGUGUUGCUAAGCAGACAGGAUGAUGGAUGUUAAACUGUCAGUAGAUUUCACUCGGUAUAUUCCCAGGAAUAAGUAGUCACAUUAGAAUUGAUUACGAUUCCCCUUAUCUCCAACAAUGCAAAAUAGAUUUAGGAACCCAUAGAUAACCAGAGCCAUUGCCCAUGAGGACUCCACAGAAAUGUGUUUGAUCUGCAAUUGACUUGCUCAGAAUACUAUUAGGAACAGGUUUUUCACUUUCCACAUGCAUUCUACUAUAAAAAGAAGACCUUUUUGUAACCUUGGAGAAUGCAGAGAAUCCAGGAAAACCAGCUCCAUACUUGAAUAGAACACAGCACAGGUAAACAUUGAGGUAAGGUUGAACUUCAGGAGAGAUGGAUUUAACUCAUAUCUCUGAUUUCUUGCCUAUUUUAUGGCUGUUACUUCACACUUUGUUUCAGUCUACACCCUAGAUAAAUUAUUGCAUUUCUUCUAGUUCUUGUUCACAUUCUCUGUUCAAAAUAUGGUUUCUGCCAUUAUUAUCACAGAAGAAAAAUGCAUUAACUGUGACAUCUGUACACAAACUCUUUGGUGACUCCAGUUCAUAGUUCUGCUAUCACAAUGAAAACCAGAAUCUGAUGACACUCAGUGCAAAGCAAAAGAGUAGUGGUAUGGAAAUAAAGAGUGAUAAUCAGAAUCCUUUCA
rnacentral:lncRNA from 1 species